GUGGGUGCAUACAAGUACAUCCAGGAGCUAUGGAGGGAGAAGCAGUCUGAUCUCAUGCGCUUUCUUCUCAGGGUCCGCUGCUGGCAGUACUGCCAGCCCUCUGCUCUCCACAGGGCUCCCCAAUCCACUUGGCCCCAUAAAGUGCGCCGACUGAACUACAAGGCUACAUUAUAUAUAGGAUUCAUGUGUGCGGUGAUGGCCAAAAACACCCAGUUCCUAAGGGUGCAACUUACGGCAAGCCUGAACAUCAUGGUGUUAACCAGCUAAACUUUGCUUGAACCCUCAGUCCAUUGCAGAGGAGCAAGCUGGACACCACUGUGGGGCUCUAAGAGUCCUGAAUUCUUACUGAGUUGAAGAUUUCACAUACAAAUUUUUUGAGGUUAUCCUCAUUGAUGCAUUCCAUUAAGCUGUCAGAAGAAAUCCUGACACCCAGUGGAUCACCAAUCAGUCUACAAGCCCAGGGAGACACGUGGGCUGACAUCUGCAGGCCGAAAGAGCCAUGGCCUUGGAAAGGGCCUUAAGUUCCACCACACUAUUGGUGGGUCUCGUCAUGCAGCUUGGAGAAAAUGUGAUAAUCUCCAGCUCCACUGUUGCCACUGA
rnacentral:lncRNA from 1 species